AACCAGACGUUGACUGAGAGUAACAGGAGGAUGCGUAAAGCUGCAGGCUUGAGGUACGCAGGCCUGAGCCGCAGGAGAUGUAACAAACAUGAGGAAGAAGAUGAUGUGGUCCAAAGAUGAAGGAGACCAAAAGUAAAUUACGACCAUGGUGAGACGUGGUAACAGGAGGAUCAUGCUGUGGACUUUUCCCCCUCAACAACAAGGAAGGUGGUCAGGCUUCAUGGGAAGAUGCAUGAAGCUAAAUACGAGAAGCUGCCUGCAACCACAGACACUCGAGUUUUGCCAAAGAGAGGGUGGGGAGAA